UACGGAGGAUGCAAGCGUUAUCCGGAGUUACUGGGCGUAAAGGGCGUGUAGGUGGUAGUGUAAGUCUGGCGUGAAAUUUUUCGGCUUAACCGGGAAAGGUCGUCGGAUACUGCACAACUAGAGGACGGUAGAGGCGUGUGGAAUUCCGGGUGUAGUGGUGAAAUGCGUAGAGAUCCGGAGGAACACCAGUGGCGAAGGCGGGUCUCUGGGCCGAUACUGACGCUGAGGAGCGAAAGCGUGGGGAGCGAACAGG
rnacentral:rRNA from 1 species